GUCACAAACACUGGCCAAAGUUAGCAAUUAUAUUUGCAAAAACUAUUAUGAACGCUAACUUUGGCCAGUGUUUGUGACUAAGUGGC